rnacentral:tRNA from 1 species
GCCCGGGUGGCGGAAUCGGUAGACGCACGGGACUUAAAAUCCCGGGCCUUAGUGCGUGCGGGUUCGAGUCCCGCCCCGGGCA